GAUGCAUGUCGGGUGGUUAGUGACGUCUAGUCGGUUGGUUAGUGACGUCUAGUCAGGUGGUUAGUGACGUCUAGUCGGGGUGGUUAGUGAAUUCUUAUUGAGGUGGUUAUGACGUCGAGUCGGGUUGGUUAGUGACGUCUAAUUGGGGUGGUUAUGACGUCGAGUCGGGUUGGUUAGCGACGUCUAAUUGGGGUGGUUAUGACGUCGAGUCGGGUUGGUUAGCGACGUCUAAUUGGGGUGGUUAUGACGUCGAGUCGGGUUGGUUAGCGACGUCUAAUUGGGGUGGUUAUGACGUCGAGUCGGGUUGGUUAGUGACGUCUAUCGGGCUGGUUGGUGACGUCUAGUCGGGUUGGUUAGCGACGUCUAAUUGGGGUGGUUAUGACGUCGAGGGACCAGAUGAGGCUCCUCUGUAGCUGCCUUCCAUGACGAGGUUCAAUAAGUCAGUGAAAUUGGACUUUAGUAAAAUAAAUCAACGUUAUUUAACAGUUAGAACUAAGUAUCUGCCAAGACAUGAAGCAGCAUGUCUUGGCAGAGCAAGUUGUCGAUACAUAAUUUUUAUUUCAAAGCUAACGAGAGCAUUGUAUGGCCACUAGCUUGAUAACCGUAUGGACACUAUCUUAAAGGUGACAUAGCACUAGCACUAUCUUAAAGGUAGCUAGUAUGGCUACAAGCUACACCCUCAAAUGGGCACUAGUCAUAUAAUGGUAUGGACACUAGCUAGUGUGCUAGCAAGCACACUCUACAGUGACACUAGCUAGAGCACGAUAUGGACACUAGCUAGUGUGCUAGCUAGAAUGCUGUAUGGUCAUACUCGCUAGAGAAUGUUAUGGGUGCUAGCUUGUGUGGAUUAUUAACACUAGCCACAGUGUGAUGUGUACAUUGGCUAAGGUUUUAGCUAGAUCACAAUGUGGACACUAGCCACAGCAUGGUAUGGACCCCAUGGAUAAAACACUAGCUAGACUGCUAGCAUGUUGUAUGGAAAGUAGCUACAGCACGCUUUAGACACUAGCCAGCCUGCUAACUACAGCAUGGUAUGGGCACACGCUAGUAUCAUAUGGACAGUGGCUAGCAUGCUAGCUAGAAUGCUGUACGGACACUAGCUACUGGGUAGGAUGACACUAAGUAGCCAGCUAGCUACAGCGUGCUAUGAGGCUAGCUAGCCAGGGCGUGUAUCUGCUCCGGGUGGAGUGUUCACUGCAGAGAGAAUCAUGAGUGACGAAGAGGUCAAGGUUAUUUUUAUCUUUCUUAAAUAUAUGUACAAAUAUAUGCUGUAAAUAUAUAAAUAUAUAUAUGUAAAGCUGUAAUGGGAGAGUGCUGCCGUCAGUACGGGGGAACGACGGCAGUGAGGGAUGCUGGGUGAACCAGGCAAGGGGCUGAGGAUACAUUAGUAUUAUUCUAACUUUUGUAACAGGUUGUGAGACGAUGUGCUCUGGAACAUUCUUCUGUUUGUAAAGAAAACCUUUGAUGCCAACAAUGGAUCAUGUGACCAGGCGGAGGGCAGUUGGCCCCGCCCACAGACAUUCCUGUUGUUUACAUGUUUGAGCUCCUACACAAAAACACUUUUUACAUUUUUACUGUCCCUGAAACCCUGUAUAAAUACAUUGAAACUGUCUUCAUUUGAAGAGUUAACUGCAAAGUGAAUUAAAUAAUAAAAAGAAAAAGUCA